rnacentral:tRNA from 1 species
GCUAGCGUGGUGUAGUGGUUUGAGUGUUAGACUAUGACUCUGGGGACCAGGGUUCAAAUCCCAGCUCUGCCA